rnacentral:rRNA from 1 species
UACGAAGGGUGCAAGCGUUACUCGGAAUUACUGGGCGUAAAGCGUGCGUAGGUGGUUUGUUAAGUCUGAUGUGAAAGCCCUGGGCUCAACCUGGGAAUUGCUUUUGAUACUGUCGAGCUUGAAUCACGGAGAGGGUAGUGGAAUUCCGAGUGUAGAGGUGAAAUUCGUAGAUAUUCGGAAGAACACCAGUGGCGAAGGCGACUUACUGGACACAUAUUGACGCUGAGGUGGCGAAAGCGGUGGGAGCAAACAGG